rnacentral:rRNA from 1 species
UGUCUCCUCCCGAGACUCAGCGAAGUUGAAGUGUUUGUGAUGAUGCAAUCUCCCCGCGGCUAGACGGAAAGACCCCAUGAACCUUUACUGUAGCUUUGCAUUGGACUUUGAACCGAUCUGUGUAGGAUAGGUGGGAGGCUUUGAAACCGGGACGCUAGUUUCGGUGGAGCCGUCCUUGAAAUACCACCCUGGUUUGUUUGAGGUUCUAACCUUGGCCCGUGAAUCCGGGUCGGGGACAGUGCAUGGUAGGCAGUUUGACUGGGGCGGUCUCCUCCCAAAGUGUAACGGAGGAGUUCGAAGGUACGCUUGGUACGGUCGGACAUCGUACCUAAAGUGCAAUGGCAAAAGCGUGCUUAACUGCGAGACCGACAAGUCGAGCAGGUGCGAAAGCAGGACAUAGUGAUCCGGUGGUUCUGUAUGGAAGGGCCAUCGCUCAACGGAUAAAAGGUACUCUGGGGAUAACAGGCUGAUACCGCCCAAGAGUUCAUAUCGACGGCGGUGUUUGGCACCUCGAUG